AAUAUUUGUUUGAAUCAUGCCAUUUUGUGAGGCAUAACAAGUAAGCUAAAUUCUUGUAUUUUUUGCAAUAGAAGAGAAUAGAUAUCACGGUGCCUGAACCACGUGACUUUUUCGGCUAUGUGUGGGACAAUCGGAUGUAAACAAAACGUCGCUUCAGACUUGAAAAGGAUUAGUCGAAAGAUCUGUAACGCUUUUAAGGUUCGAAGCUGUGUAAGAACUACAUGAACACCAUCAAACCACACGGAAGGUGAUAUGUGGCAAGUUAAAAAUCAAAACCACAGUGACAGAGACAGGGACCCCGCUUCAUUCUGUGAUGUUUAUGGAAAGCUAUUUCAACUAACUACGCAAACAUACCAUUUAACGUGUAUUUUUGCAUAAGCAAAACAAAGUGUGUGUAUUGAUAUGUGUGUAUAUUUAUCGGUUUUGUAUCUAUGUUAUUACUAAAAUUGAUUAGAUGAAUAUAAAAUCUGAUAAUGUGUGUUAAUAAAACAGGUGUUUCAUAACAAAUAACAAUUUAAAUCCAA